ensembl:snRNA U6 U6 spliceosomal RNA
GUACUUUGGCAGCACAUAUACUAAAAUUGGAACGAUACAGAGAAGAUUUGCAUGGCCCCUGCGCAAAGAUGACACGCAAAUUCGUGGAGCAAUCCAUAUAUUU